rnacentral:lncRNA from 1 species
CCCCUCCUCCCCCUCCUCCUCUUCCUCCUCUCUCCUCUUCCUCCCCAUCCUCUUCCUCCUCUCUCCUCUUCCUCCCCAUCCUCUUCCUCCCCCUCCUCUUUUUCCUCCUCUUAUUCCUCCUCUUCUUUGUCCUCCUCCUCCUCUUCUUCCUCCUCUCCUUUGUCCUCCUCCUCUUCUUCCUCCUCCUUUUUCUCUUCUUUUACCCCCUCAGAGUCAAGCUCUCAGUCAGGCUGGGUGUGACCUUGUAGACAGAGGUUAUCCUA